UAUCGCAGGAUUCAACUCAAAACGAUUUAAUCUUUCGCCUUUUACUAAAGAUUACCGUGAGUUGGAUCUUAGUUGCGAUUUGACACUUUUUUUGUAGGUGACUUUAAGCCACC